rnacentral:rRNA from 1 species
ACACUGCCGAGAAAAGCCUCUAGAUAGAAAAUAGGUGCCCGUACCGCAAACCGACACAGGUAGUCAAGAUGAGAAUUCUAAGGUGAGCGAGCGAACUCUCGUUAAGGAACUCGGCAAAAUGACCCCGUAACUUCGGGAGAAGGGGUGCUCUUUAGGGUUAACGCCCAGAAGAGCCGCAGUGAAUAGGCCCAAGCGACUGUUUAUCAAAAACACAGGUCUCUGCUAAACCGUAAGGUGAUGUAUAGGGGCUGACGCCUGCCCGGUGCUGGAAGGUUAAGAGGAGUGGUUAGCUUCUGCGAAGCUACGAAUCGAAGCCCCAGUAAACGGCGGCCGUAACUAUAACGGUCCUAAGGUAGCGAAAUUCCUUGUCGGGUAAGUUCCGACCCGCACGAAAGGCGUAACGAUUUGGGCACUGUCUCAACGAGAGACUCGGUGAAAUCAUAGUACCUGUGAAGAUGCAGGUUACCCGCGACAGGACGGAAAGACCCCGUGGAGCUUUACUGUAGCCUGAUAUUGAAAUUCGGCACAGCUUGUACAGGAUAGGUAGGAGCCUUUGAAACGUGAGCGCUAGCUUACGUGGAGGCG